AACGUACUCCCUCCGUUUGGAAUUAUUUGUAUGAAUGUAUCUAGAUGUAUUUUAGUUUAGAUACAUCCAUUUUUGUGACAAGUAAUUUCGAACGGAGGGAGUAUGUG
rnacentral:pre_miRNA from 1 species